AGAGUUUGAUCCUGGCUCAGGAUGAACGCUGGCGGCGUGCUUAACACUUGCAAGUCGAACGGGAAUUACUUUAUUGAAACUUCGGUCGAUUUAAUUUAAUUCUAGUGGCGGACGGGUGAGUAACGCGUGGGUAACCUGCCUUAUACAGGGGGAUAACAGUCAGAAAUGGCUGCUAAUACCGCAUAAGCGCACAGAGCUGCAUGGCUCAGUGUGAAAAACUCCGGUGGUAUAAGAUGGACCCGCGUUGGAUUAGCUUGUUGGUGGGGUAACGGCCCACCAAGGCGACGAUCCAUAGCCGGCCUGAGAGGGUGAACGGCCACAUUGGGACUGAGACACGGCCCAGACUCCUACGGGAGGCAGCAGUGGGGAAUAUUGCACAAUGGGGGAAACCCUGAUGCAGCGACGCCGCGUGAAGGAAGAAGUAUCUCGGUAUGUAAACUUCUAUCAGCAGGGAAGAUAGUGACGGUACCUUACUAAGAAGCCCCGGCAAACUACGUGCCAGCAGCCGCGGU
rnacentral:rRNA from 1 species